UACGUAGGGGGCAAGCGUUGUCCGGAUUUAUUGGGCGUAAAGAGCUCGUAGGUGGUUUGUUACGUCUGCUGUGAAAACCUAGGGCUUAACCCUGGGCCUGCAGUGGAUACGGGCAGACUAGAGGUAGGUAGGGGGAGAAUGGAAUUCCCGGUGUAGCGGUGAAAUGCGCAGAUAUCGGGAGGAACACCGGUGGCGAAGGCGGGUCUCUGGGCAGUAACUGACGCUGAGGAGCGAAAGCGUGGGGAGCGAACAGG
rnacentral:rRNA from 1 species